rnacentral:rRNA from 1 species
CGCUGGCGGCGUGCCUAAUACAUGCAAGUCGAGCGGAAUGAUGAAGAAGCUUGCUUCUUCUGAUUUUAGCGGCGGACGGGUGAGUAACACGUGGGCAACCUACCUUGUAGAUUGGGAUAACUCCGGGAAACCGGGGCUAAUACCGAAUAAUCCAUUUUGCUUCAUGGCGAGAUGUUAAAAGGCGGCUUCGGCUGUCACUACGAGAUGGGCCCGCGGCGCAUUAGCUAGUUGGUAGGGUAAUGGCCUACCAAGGCGACGAUGCGUAGCCGACCUGAGAGGGUGAUCGGCCACACUGGGACUGAGACACGGCCCAGACUCCUACGGGAGGCAGCAGUAGGGAAUCUUCCACAAUGGACGAAAGUCUGAUGGAGCAACGCCGCGUGAGUGAAGAAGGUUUUCGGAUCGUAAAACUCUGUUGUAAGGGAAGAACACGUACGAGAGUAACUGCUCCUACCUUGACGGUACCUUAUUAGAAAGCCACGGCUAACUACGUG